rnacentral:rRNA from 1 species
UACGAGAGGUCCAAGCGUUAGUCGGAAUCACUGGGCUUAAAGGGUGCGUAGGCGGGCCUGUAAGUGCUUUGUGAAAUCCCAUGGCUCAACCAUGGAAUUGCAGGGCAUACUGCGGGCCUCGAGGAAGCUAGAGGCCGGUGGAACGAUAGGUGGAGCGGUGGAAUGCGUAGAUAUCUAUCGGAACGCCAAAGGUGAAGACAGCCGGCUGGGGCUUUCCUGACGCUGAGGCACGAAAGCGUGGGGAUCAAACAGG